rnacentral:lncRNA from 1 species
CCGGGUUAUGCGAAAUUCUUUGCUGCCAGUUCACUUCUUCUGCACGCUGAAUUCGAAGCUCGCCUCCCAAGCUUCCCCGCAUCUCCGGCGCCAGAACGACCCACGAUUAAGAUUCCCCCCACUACUGUGGGGGAAGCUCAGCCCUUCUACUGAAGGCUUGAGGUCGAGGUUGGCCUGAGGCUGCCAGUUGCAGUUUUGGAGGCAGGCGCCACCCCGCAGGCGACUUCCAGUUUCUACGCUCUGGGCGCCGGGGGGAAGACGGCACACUCACUCGGUCCGGAGUCACGUGCAGAGUGCGGCUAGCACUCGAAUCGGCAAGCAAGGAGAUAGUGACCCAUGUAUCCAGGAUCUUCUCAAUAGACUAAAGUCCCAAACGCGACAGAGAGCAUUGGUGAAGAAUGACAAGGCUUUAUGCGUGAACUAUACAAGCAGGUGGUACAUAGACAACUGGCCUAUGUCAAGAAGUGGAAAACAGACGGCAGAGUUCACAGAAUUGCAGAAUCUCAAGGUUGGAAGGGACCUCAGAGACCAUCUAGCCCUGAACAACGAUCCUCUCUACGAUUUAUUCACCAAGCGGCCAUCCAUUCUUUGCUUCAGUGUCUCUAUUGAGGAGGAACCGCCCAUGGCAACCAGUUUUACUUGUGGGUAGCUCAUUGUUGGAAAGUAUUUUUCUGCCAUUAAGGCUAAAGUUUUUUUUUUUUACAACUUCUACCAUUCCGCACUGAUUCUAGAAAAAAUCUAAUCUUCGUCCAUAGGACAAAGCUCUUGCCCCCUGACCCUGAACCAUUUCUUCUCCUCACUAACAUCCAUUUACUUCAAGUGAUCUGUAUGUGGAACAUUUCUAGUAUUUUCAGUAUCCCGGAUCAUAGGUUUCAAGUGGGAAAUGAAUUCCAAGAUCAAUUUAGUUUAAUCCCCUCACUGUAGAUAUGAGGAAGUUGAGGCUGAAACCCAUUUGUCCAGGCUUGGAUUUGAAGUCAACACUUUCAGGUCAGCUUCCGCAGGACAUUCCAGCUCAGUGGCAUGCAUAUAUAAAUGGACAUAGUUCUGUAUAUUCAAUAUUAGAAUAUAACUGCUUAUUUUGGACAAUUUGCCGUAUAUACUUAAACCUGAGAUUAUAUAAGUUUAUUGAAUUACUAUGGCAUCACCGAUAAAAUUGAUCUAGGGUGAUAAAGGACUUCUGAGGACUGAAAUCCAAGUCCACUAAACCCUCAAGUUUUUGCAAUAUCAACUGUAGCCUAGGCAUGAUACCCCUGUCCUCAACCCAAUAAAUGUAUUUAUGAAGUUUUGGUUUUAGUCCA